UACGAAGGGUGCAAGCGUUACUCGGAAUUACUGGGCGUAAAGGGUGCGUAGGUGGUUGUUUAAGUCUGCUGUGAAAGCCCCGGGCUCAACCUGGGAAUGGCAGUGGAUACUGGACAGCUAGAGUGCGGUAGAGGGUAGUGGAAUUCCCGGUGUAGCAGUGAAAUGCGUAGAGAUCGGGAGGAACACCAGUGGCGAAGGCGGCUACCUGGACCAGCACUGACACAGAAGCACGAAAGCGUGGGGAGCAAACAGG
rnacentral:rRNA from 1 species